rnacentral:rRNA from 1 species
UACGAAGGGUGCAAACGUUGCUCGGAAUUAUUGGGCGUAAAGCGCACGUAGGCGGCAUUGCAAGUCGGAUGUGAAAUCCCUCGGCUUAACCAAGGAAGUGCAUCCGAAACUGCAGUGCUUGAGUACUUAAGAGGAUCGCGGAAUUCCCGGUGUAGAGGUGAAAUGCGUAGAUAUCUGGAGGAACACCGGUGGCGAAGGCGGUUCUCUGGGCCUUACCUGACGCUGAGGAGCGAAAGCGUGGGGAGCAAACGGG